ensembl:lncRNA
GAAGCUCCAGGACCGUCUCAUGUACAGGUUACAAACAGUGAAAGUCGUCCACGAGUGAGUAGCAUCUGUGCGUCCCGAAGCCAGGCCUCUGCUAAGUAUGGAAAGUACCGGAAUCAGCAAUGCAUGGCGAACAGUUUGGUUUUCCUGUCAUUCUUACACGAGGAUGAAUUCAUUACGAGAGCAGAUCUUAACCGUGUGUUGGACAAAGGCCAUGCCAUGCAUUCAGAUGCCAGAAAGAGGUUUGUGAACAGCGUGUUUCUAGCCUGCGAUGAGCUUCCCUCAGUGGUCACCAGCCGCACACACAAGUAUCAAGUGGACAUGUCUCAGUUUGCUCUUUACGGCGCAUUUGAUGGUACAGAUCAUCUUCCGAGCCUUGAACAGGGACUACAGUGUUUGGUUUCAGCGGUUCGCUAUGCUUUGCUAGUCAUGGGAGGAAACGUCAUUGCAGUUUGCAGGCUGACUUCAGGACUUGGAUGAGAAAAGGAUUUAUGCCAAUCCUGAGGUAACUGCAGCGCUCCAAACCAUGAGACAAGCCAGCGUUGAGGAAAUGAUGCCUCUUCUUCAGGUCAGAGAAACAGCCAGCAGACCUGACACUCUUACACUGAUCCAUCACAAUACAGAGGGUUUGCCAUCUCACAUCAGUGACAUCAAGAGUCAUCAUGAAAUGUGUUUAGCAGAUGUUUUGUGUCUCACAGAGUCUCACCUCCAAGGCUCCUUUGUUGCAGACAGUCUUCAUUUGGACGGCUACACCAUGUUCAAACGCAACAGACAUGUGUCCUACACAAACUUUCCUCACAUGGCCAGCAGAAGUGGUGGUGGAGUUGUUGUGUAUUUGAGGAAUCAUUUUCAGGUUCAGGUAAAACAGUAUCUGCAUAAUGUCACUGAUCUUGAGUUCUUAGUGUUGAAGGUUCAGGCUCC